AACGUAGGAGACAAACGUUAUCCGGAGUUACUGGGCGUAAAGGGCGUGUAGGUGGUUGCGUAAGUCUGGCGUGAAAUUUUUCGGCUUAACCGGGAAAGGUCGUUGGAUACUGCGUAACUAGAGGACGGUAGAGGCGUGUGGAAUUCCGGGUGUAGUGGUGAAAUGCGUAGAGAUCCGGAGGAACACCAGUGGCGAAGGCGACACGCUGGGCCGUACCUGACACUGAACCGCGACAGCAUGGGGAGCAAACAGG
rnacentral:rRNA from 1 species